rnacentral:rRNA from 1 species
GACGAACGCUGGCGGCGUGCUUAACACAUGCAAGUCGAACGGAAAGGCCCGCCACCUUGGUGGUGGGUACUCGAGUGGCGAACGGGUGAGUAACACGUGGGUGAUCUGCCCCGCACUGUGGGAUAAGCCUGGGAAACUGGGUCUAAUACCACAUACGACCAUGGCGUAGGGGUCAUGGUGGAAAGCUUUUGCGGUGUGGGAUGAGCCCGCGGCCUAUCAGCUUGUUGGUGGGGUAAUGGCCUACCAAGGCGGCGACGGGUAGCCGGCCUGAGAGGGUGGACGGCCACAUUGGGACUGAGACACGGCCCAGACUCCUACGGGAGGCAGCAGUGGGGAAUGUUGCACAAUGGGCGCAAGCCUGAUGCAGCGACGCCGCGUGGGGGAUGACGGCCUUCGGGUUGUAAACUCCUUUCGCCCGGGACGAAGCCCACCUGGUGGUGACGGACCGGAGAAGAAGCACCG